AAAGACAGUUCCAAACCGUCUGCUUCGCCUCUCAAUCACAGUCUAACAAGACCGUCGCAUGGAUUGAUUGGUUGGGAGGAGAACCGCAACAAGAUAUGCUGCUGAAAAAUCAACAUGGAGUUUGAGUCAGGUCGAUGUAGUGCAUUAACCUCGGCUGAUCUAUCUUGGGCCUCUCAUUUUCCUUUGGUUCUGAAUUCCACUGGUGAGAUAUUGGACUUGCUCGGGCUGAAAAAGAUAUCACCCAAGCUUAUAUUGAAGUGAUGUAUCAGGCUGAUUUAGUUGAUACUGCAGUUUGAAGAUUGUACAAAUAAAUUGUAUCUGAAUAAACAAUUUUUCCUGUACACUGGAAUGUACUGAAUUUUUCAUGUAAUAGCACACAAUGCCGUAGUGAGCUGCCUGAAUAAAACUUCAGGA